rnacentral:rRNA from 1 species
UACGGAGGGUGCAAGCGUUAAUCGGAAUUACUGGGCGUAAAGCGUGCGCAGGCGGUUUGUUAAGUCCGCUGUGAAAUCCCCGAGCUCAACUUGGGAAUUGCAGUGGAUACUGGCAAGCUGGAGUAUGGUAGAGGAAGGUGGAAUUCCCGGUGUAGCAGUGAAAUGCGUAGAGAUCGGGAGGAACACCUGUGGCGAAAGCGGCGCACUGGACCACAACUGACGCUGAGGCGCGAAAGCUAGGGGAGCAAACAGG